GCCCCUGUGACGGAACUGGAAUACGUGCUGGUCUUAGAAACCAGAUUUUGUGGGUUCGAUUCCCACCGGGGGCACCA
rnacentral:tRNA from 1 species